rnacentral:rRNA from 1 species
AUGAUGGUAGCGGACGGGUGAGUAACGCGUAAAGAAUCUGCCCUACAGUCUGGGACAACAGUUGGAAACGACUGCUAAUACCGGAUAUUAUGAUUUUGCCGCAUGGUGAGAUUAUGAAAGCUAUAUGCGCUGGAGGAGGACUUUGCGUCCCAUUAGUUAGUUGGUGAGGUAAUGGCUCACCAAGACAGUGAUGGGUAGCCGGCCUGAGAGGGUGAACGGCCACAAGGGGAUUGAGACACGGCCCUUACUCC